AGAGUUUGAUCAUGGCUCAGAUUGAACGCUGGCGGCAUGCUUUACACAUGCAAGUCGAACGGCAGCACGGGGGCAACCCUGGUGGCGAGUGGCGAACGGGUGAGUAAUACAUCGGAACGUGUCCUGAGGUGGGGGGAUAACCUGGCGAAAGCCAGGCUAAUACCGCAUACGCUCGGAAGAGGAAAGCAGGGGACCGCAAGGCCUUGCGUCGCAGGAGCGGCCGAUGUCCGAUUAGCUAGUAGGUAGGGUAAAGGCCUACCUAGGCGACGAUCGGUAGCUGGUCUGAGAGGAUGAUCAGCCACACUGGGACUGAGACACGGCCCAGACUCCUACGGGAGGCAGCAGUGGGGAAUUUUGGACAAUGGGGGCAACCCUGAUCCAGCCAUGCCGCGUGAGUGAAGAAGGCCUUCGGGUUGUAAAGCUCUUUCGGUGGGAACGAAACGGUGGAUGUUAAUACCAUCCACUUCUGACGGUACUCACAGAAGAAGCACCGGCUAACUACGUGCCAGCAGCCGCGGUAAUACGUAGGGUGCGAGCGUUAAUCGGAAUUACUGGGCGUAAAGCGUGCGUAGGCGGUUCUACAAGCUUGAUGUGAAAGCCCCGGGCUUAACCUGGGAACGGCAUUGAGGACUGUGGAGCUGGAGUGCGGCAGAGGGAGGUGGAAUUCCACGUGUAGCAGUGAAAUGCGUAGAGAUGUGGAGGAACACCGAUGGCGAAGGCAGCCUCCUGGGCCGACACUGACGCUGAUGCACGAAAGCGUGGGGAGCAAACAGGAUUAGAUACCCUAGUAGUCC
rnacentral:rRNA from 1 species